GCCCUAAGUUUGGGGAAGCCUGCUCUAAAUAAAUUGAAUAAAGGAGAGCAUUUUAGCUUCCUUCUAUUUUCACAUUUUAUAAAUUCACUUUUCAGUUUUAACAGUGAAAACAUGUAGACCGGGGUGUCCCGACAUAAAAUAAUUUCAUUAUAAAGAUUGGGGCCCUUAUCAGGCAUUGGUAAACUCACAGGAAGUUUCAGAAAAUAAAACUGAACGGAAAAAAAACAGAGGCAAAAAUAGCAGAUCAGAAAAAAUUCUCUAACUCUGUUCAAUGUCCAAACAUGCCUACAUUUGCUUCAGUUACACUGUUUGGAUUUAUAGCGCACAAAUUCUGAGUUUGGUCAACUACCCAGAGUGUCUCACCAUAGUCUCUCAUUCUGUCACAGUGUGUGGUGGCUGUGCUUGGUGUGUGUGUGUGUACACAGUGCAGGCUGCCUGUAUGUGAAGUGUGUGUGUGUACACAGUGUGGGCUGCCUGCAUGUGAAGGGUGUGUGUGUGUGUGUGUGUGUGCGUGUACACAAUGUGGGCUGCCUGUAUGUGAAGUGGGUGUACACAGUGUGGGCUGCCUGCAUGUGAAGUGUGUGUGUGUAUACACACAACGUGGGCUGCCCGUAUGUGAAGUGUGUGUGUGUAUACACACAACGUGGGCUGCCCGUAUGUGAAGUGUGUGUGUGUAUACACACAACGUGGGCUGCCCGUAUGUGAAGUGAGUGUGUACACAGUGUUUGACUGCAUGUAUGUGAAGUGUGUGUGUGUACAGUGUGGGCUGCCUGUAUGUGAAGUGUGUCUGUAUACAGUGUGGGCUGCCUGUAUGUGAAGUGUGUGUAUACAGUGUGGGUUGCCUGUAUGUGGAGUGUGUGUGUAUACAGUGUGGGCUGCCUGUAUGUGAAGUGUGUGUGUAUACAGUGUGGGCUGCCUGUAUGUGAAGUGUGUGUGUAUGCAGUGUGGGCUGCCUGUAUGUGAAGUGUGUGUGUGUGUGUGUAUACAGUGUGGGCUGCCUGUAUGUGAAGUGUGUGUGUGUAUAUAUACAGUGUGGGCUGCCUGUAUGUGAAGUGU